rnacentral:rRNA from 1 species
AUGAUUGGAACAACAAUUUCAGCACGGAUUGUCAAGAAACCCACUAGCUCUCUUCGCCAAUUUAUCGAGGACAUAAACAUCAGUCGACUGCAUCGGCGAGGACAUAACCGAGGAACAAACAAAUUGAAGGGAGAUCUCUCAAGCUCAAACAUCGGAAAAUCAGUGGCGGUAAAAAUUAUUCCAUCAAGGGAAUCUUCCCUUCCCUUGCCUUCACCAGCCGGUGCGCGCGGCCGCUCACUUGCGGAGGAAGCUGAGGAUGCGCUCCUGCAACUCGAUCGCUUUCUCGGACCGCGGCUUCAUGCAGUAGAAGACGUGGUCCUCGUCCAUGGACUCGAGCAGCUCCACCUCGCCGCCGUACCCGCUCGCCUUGAGGCUCUCGUAGUACCAGACGCCCCUGUCCCGGAGGCCGUCCUUCUGGGCGACGCAGACGAGCACGCGCUCGCCGGCGAUGCGCGCCGCGCUGCCGCCGGCCGCCUCCGAGAACGGGUUGGACAGCGGGUCGUCCAGCCCCGGCGAGCCCGGGUAGAGGAAGCGCCAGAAGGCGUCGGCCUUGGCCUUCUCCGCCUUCCCCGUGGUCGCCUCCUUGCCGAUCUCCGCCGCGCCGCUGAAGUACGGGUGCACCACGAUGAUCCCCUUGAUGCCGACCCCGGGGAGGGCGCCCUGCUCGCCGGCGCGCACGGCCAUGACGUGCGCGAUGGUGCCCCCGGCGCUGCCGCCCGCCAGGAACACGCGGGAGAAGUCGCCGUGGUCGACCAGCCACGGCUCGGUGCCGGCCGCGCCCGCCGUGGCGUGGGACGCCACCCACUUGAGCCCCUCCCAGGAGUCGUCGUAGGCCGCGGGGAGCGGGUGCUCCGGCGCGAGGCGGUACUCGAGCGCCACCGCGACGACGUUGGCCGCGGCGACGAGGCCGUUGAGGUAGUUGUGCGUCAUGGGGUCGGACGCCGAGCCGAUGACGUAGGCGCCGCCGUGGAAGUAGAUGAGGACGGGGAGCUUGCCGGCGGCGCCGGGCGGCAGGAAGACGCGCGCCCAGAGGCCGUUGGCCGGGUCGAUGACGACGUCCUUGGAGACGACGCCCGUGGCGGGGUCGACGCCGGCCGGGAUCGGGGGGAAGUUAAAGAACCGCUCCACGCGGCCGCUCUUGUACUGGCGGACGAGCGGGAAGAAGUCGAAGUGCACCUCCUCGUCCGAGCCGCCCGUUGCCGCCAUUGGGACGAGCUAGCUCUUCUGGUCGCGUAUUCGAUCGUUCGUGGGCUACCUCACUCGUGCCGUCGCUUCGAGGCUUCGCUCUCGGGUCUCGAUCGCCGGCAUUAUGUAAUGGAGUGGUGGAGGAAUGGUGGAUGCCAGAUAUUGGUGGAGCGAACGGUAGGACGGUAG